UGCAAAGAUUCAGCAGCCUUUGUCUCACCAUGAGGGGCCUCCUCAGAGAAAGUCUGUCCUUCCCUGGUUUGACAGACCUGGAAAGAAAGACAAUGAUACGUUAUUUUUAUUUUAUUUUAUUUUUAUUUAUUUAUUUAUUUGUGGUUUUUGUUCUAAGAAACAAGUGUCUACCCCUUCACUCUAAGUUACAGUAAAGCAGAAACUAUAACUACUAUCUGCCCUUCCAUUCCAUUUCAUCCUUAUGCUUUUCUGUUUGCUGGCUGCUGUGUGCCAGGUUUCCUGUUUCUGAGCAAGGCAAUGGUAAGUGACUCCUGUACGUUAUAUAGCACAAUUAAUCUGACAAGGGCUUUUGGGGAGUGGGGGUGCUAUGUAGGGAAAGAUAGCAAAACAAACCACUGGUAGCAAUGUGUUUUACAUUAUUUCAGGUUGUGGUGUGGCGAUGCUCCCCACGGGUACCCAGAGUUGUGAAGCAUCUCACUACCCCCUGCCCUUCGCAUGAGAAAGCCUUAUCCGUGCCUGCCAUAGGUCAUCUCCCCAACUCCACCAACAACGGGUAACACAAGCACUCCCCCCAGGUCUAUGCAGGCUCUGCUUUCUCACUACAGGGUGGCAAUAGGCACUCUCCAACCCUCAAGCCCUCUGAGUACCUUCCUGGAGUGUCUAGUCCUUGUUCCACUGGACACUCACAGUAGUCAUAGAUUUGCUGCUUCCAAAGAGACUGUAAAUCCCAGCUUUCCCAGUUCCCUUCAGAUCAUUGCACUUAGAUAUGCUUAUAGCAAAAACAACUAAAAGUUUAUUUAACAAUGUACAGAGAUUCAAGUGGAAACAAAUAGUUACAUAUAAAGUAAAAUAAUAAGACACAUUCUAGAACCAAGAUUUACUUAACUUGAUGUUUUCAUGUCUUAUAGACUAAGUCCUUCUAGCAUUUUACAGCCAGGCUUGGCUGUGACUGUCCUUUCAUAAGAAAGACACAGUUAGCUUUCAUCCUGGGGGAAGGAUCCAAGGUGUACCUCUACACCCCUACAUAUACCCUGACAAUCCAUUGUCUUUACUCAUAAACAGGAUCCCCUUCUGUUGUUUAUUUCUUUCUGUAAAUGUCUUCUCUUGAAAAUUUUGCAAUCUCUUGAUUAGCAUGUGGCUCACUAUGCAAACCAGCAUCCAUUGUCAGACAUGUAAUGCCAAUACACCCAUGAGCAGACAUAGAUAAAAGCAUCUAAGAGACUAACAAAUU